rnacentral:tRNA from 1 species
GGCCCCGUAGUUGAGUCCUACAACGUUAGAUUGCAAAUCUAAAAACGCAUACUUCUGCCGGGGCUU